AUUGAACGCUGGCGGCAGGCUUAACACAUGCAAGUCGAGCGGGGUGAUGGUGCUUGCACUAUCACUUAGCGGCGGACGGGUGAGUAAUGCUUAGGAAUCUGACUAUUAGUGGGGGACAACAUCCCGAAAGGGAUGCUAAUACCGCAUACGUCCUACGGGAGAAAGCAGGGGAUCACUUGUGACCUCGCGCUAAUAGAUGAGCCUAAGUCGGAUUAGCUAGUUGGUGGGGUAAAGGCCUACCAAGGCGACGAUCUGUAGCGGGUCUGAGAGGAUGAUCCGCCACACUGGGACUGAGACACGGCCCAGACUCCGACGGGAGGCAGCAGUGGGGAAUAUUGGACAAUGGGGGGAACCCUGAUCCAGCCAUGCCGCGUGUGUGAAGAAGGCCUUAUGGUUGUAAAGCACUUUAAGCGAGGAGGAGGCUACUCUAGUUAAUACCUAGGGAUAGUGGACGUUACUCGCAGAAUAAGCACCGGCUAACUCUGUGCCAGCCGCCGCUGUAA
rnacentral:rRNA from 1 species